GAUGAAGAACGUAGCAAAAUGCGAUAAGUAAUGUGAAUUGCAGAAUUCAGUGAAUCAUCGAAUCUUUGAACGCACAUUGCGCCCGCCAGUAUUCUGGCGGGCAUGCCUGUUCGAGCGUCAUUUCAACCCUCAAGCCCUCGGGUUUGGUGUUGGGGAUCGGCGAGCCUUUCUGGCAAGCCGGCCCCGAAAUCUAGUGGCGGUCUCGCUGCAGCCUCCAUUGCGUAGUAGUAAAACCCUCGCAACUGGAACGCGGCGCGGCCAAGCCGUUAAACCCCCAACUUCUGAAUGUUGACCUCGGAUCGGGUAGGAAUACCCGCUGAACUUAAGCAUAUCAAUAAGCGGAGGA
rnacentral:misc_RNA from 1 species